UCUGUGGCUUUCCGUAUUGUUUCUCUGGGGAUGAUGAAGAUGGAGGAUCGGAUGGUGGAUCUCGAUGAAUGGUUGAGAUCUUGCCACAUAUGUAGGGGGUUACUUUUGACAAUUGGAUGUGGAAGGAAGAAUCUAGAGGCAAACCCCACUAGGGUUUUUUUCUUGUUAAUUUUUUGUUAUUUCUAAUGUUAUUCCAUUAAAGAAAAAGAAAAAAAAAAUGGAGAGGAUGUUUGAUGAUUCCUUUUUUGAUGAAUGGAUGAAUGGAGGAAGAAGAAGGAAGGAGUGGAAUCUUUGAUGAAUGAUUUUUUGGGGAGGGGAUGGUGUUGUUGUAUAUUUGCUAGAGUUUAUUUAAUUUCUAAUUUUGUGUUGUUGUAACAUUCUCCUCCAUUCAC
rnacentral:lncRNA from 1 species